AGGUGGAGCAAAACUUCAAAAAUAGGUCUCAGUUCGGACUGUAGGCUGCAACUCGCCUACACGAAGUUGGAAUUGCUAGUAAUCGUGGAUCAGCAUGCCACGGUGAAUACGUUCCCGGGUCUUGUACACACCGCCCGUCACACCAUGGGAGCUGGUAACACCCGAAGUCAGUAGUCUAACCGCAAGGAGGACGCUGCCGAAGGUGGGAUUAGCGACUGGGGUGAAGUCGUAACAAGGUAGC
rnacentral:rRNA from 1 species